rnacentral:rRNA from 1 species
CCUUCCCAUCCCGAACAGGACCGUGAAACGACUCUACGCCGAUGAUAGUGCGGAUUCCCGUGUGAAAGUAGGUAAUCGUCAGGC